AGGGGUAUAGUUCAAUGGUAGAACAGCGGUCUCCAAAACCGUCGGUGUGGGUUCAAGUCCUGCUACCCCUGCCA
rnacentral:tRNA from 1 species